rnacentral:snRNA from 1 species
AUACUUACUUGGCAGGGAAGAUACCAUGAUCACGAAGGUGGUUUCCCAGGGUGAGGCAUAUCCAUUGCACUUCGGAUAUGCUGACCCCUGUGAUUUCCCCAAAUGUGUGAAACUUGACUGCAUAAUUUGUUGUAGUGGGGGACUGCAUUUGGGCUCUCCCCUA